rnacentral:rRNA from 1 species
AGUGAACGCUGGCGGCGUGCCUAACACAUGCAAGUCGAACGGGCUAGUGCUUCGCACUAGUCUCUUUCUGGGGUUGUUACUCUAAGGCUACCUGCUAAAGUUAUUGCUUUAAAGCAGGGGUUUUAGGAGACUUUCUCCGAAAGGGGCCAGUGCGGAGCACUGGCCAGUGGCGAACGGGUGAGUAACACGUGGGUAAUCUACCCUCGAGUGGGGAAUAAGCUUCCGAAAGGGGGUCUAAUGCCGCAUAACGUUUCAUAACGAUGGUUAUGAAACCAAAGCCCAAAAGGCGCUCGAGGAGGAGCCUGCGUCCUAUCAGCUUGUUGGCAGGGUAAUGGCCUACCAAGGCUAUGACGGGUAGCCGGCCUGAGAGGGUGUCCGGCCACACUGGAACUGAGACACGGUCCAGACUCCUACGGGAGGCAGCAGUGGGGAAUUUUGCGCAAUGGGGGAAACCCUGACGCAGCGACGCCGCGUGGAGGAUGACGGCCUCGGUGUAACUCUGUCGAGGACGAAAUCCGCAAC